rnacentral:rRNA from 1 species
ACCAUUUGUGAAUUCUAUUACUAAGACUUUAUUUUAAUAAUUGAUAGAUAAAUGGUGGCACAGAAUCGGAGGCCCCGACUGUUUACUAAAAACACAACACAGUGCAAUCAUUAAUAUGGUAGUAUACUGUGUGAAAUUUGCCCAAUGCCAUUAAUAUAAAAGCGGUCAUAGGAAACUGUGACUAAUUGAAAAUCUGGUUAAUAGCGGUCUUAACCAUGAGGAUCCUAAGGUAGCAAAAUAAAUUGGCCAUUAAAUGUGGACCGGUAUCAAUAAUGUAACGAUGGCCUCACUGUCUCUACACUUGCUCAGU